rnacentral:miRNA from 1 species
UGGCCUCUGGCUGUGUACCCU